rnacentral:rRNA from 1 species
GCCUACGGGAGGCAGCAGUGAGGAAUAUUGGUCAAUGGGCGGGAGCCUGAACCAGCCAAGUCGCGUGAGGGAGGACGGUCCUAUGGAUUGUAAACCUCUUUAGGCGGGGAGCAAUGCCGGGCACGCGUGCCCGGAGGGAGAGUACCCGCAGAAUAAGCAUCGGCUAACUCCGUGCCAGCAGCCGCGGUAAUACGGAGGAUGCGAGCGUUAUCCGGAUUUAUUGGGUUUAAAGGGUGCGCAGGCGGCGUGUCAAGUCAGCGGUAAAAUGUCGGGGCUCAACCCCGGCCGGCCGUUGAAACUGGCGG